CGCGAAAGGGGGGCAACCCCUGAGUAGAGUGGCGAACGGGUGAGUAAUACAUCGGAACGUGUCCAGUAGCGGGGGAUAACCUCUCGAAAGAGAGGCUAAUACCGCAUACGACCUACGGGUGAAAGAGGGGGAUCGCAAGACCUCUCACUAUUGGAGCGGCCGAUGUCGGAUUAGCUGGCUGGUGGGGUAACGGCCCACCAAGGCGACGAUCCGUAGCUGGUCUGAGAGGACGACCAGCCACACUGGAACUGAGACACGGUCCAGACUCCUACGGGAGGCAGCAGUGGGGAAUUUUGGACAAUGGGCGAAAGCCUGAUCCAGCCAUGCCGCGUGAGUGUAGAAGGCCCUCGGGUUGUAAAGCUCUUUCGGCGGGGACGAAAAGGUCCGUGCGAACACCACGGAUCCAUGACGGUACCCGCAGAAGAAGCACCGGCUGACUACGUGCCAGCAGCCGCGGUAAUACGUAGGGUGCAGGCGCUAAUCGGAAUUACUGGGCGUAAAGCGUGCGCAGGCGGUCUAUUAAGACAGGUGUGAAAUCCCCGGGCUUAACCUGGGAACUGCGCUUGUAACUGAUAGGCUGGAGUGUGGCAGAGGGGGGUGGAAUUCCACGUGUAGCAGUGAAAUGCGUAGAGAUGUGGAGGAACACCGAUGGCGAAGGCAGCCCCCUGGGCUAACACUGACGCUCAUGCACGAAAGCGUGGGGAGCAAACAGGAUUAGAUACCCUGGUAGUCCACGCCCUAAACUAUGUCAACUGGUUGUCGGGGAAGCAAUUCCUUGGUAACGAAGCUAACGCGUGAAGUUGACCGCCUGGGGAGUACGGCCGCAAGGUUAAAACUCAAAGGAAUUGACGGGGACCCGCACAAGCGGUGGAUUAUGUGGAUUAAUUCGAUGCACGCGAAAAACCUUACCUACCCUUGACAUGCCAGGAACCCUCCAGAGAUGGAGGGUGCCCGAAAGGGAGC
rnacentral:rRNA from 1 species